ensembl:lncRNA
CUUGGAAUGAUGCCUAAUUUUCAAGGUAAGGGUGAAGUGCAUGGAAAUGGGCAAUACUGAUAAUAGAAGGAGAGGUCACCAAGGAGGGCCAUUCCCCUUGUGGUGGAGCUGUGGCAGUCAGGUGUCCUGGGGGGAGGGGGUGCAAGAAAAUGAGCCUGAGUGAGGUGGCUGGGCACUGCUGUGGGAAGGUUGAGAGCAGUCUGCAGCCGGGUGGUGGGGAUCCUGAGAGGCUCCACGUCUGCCGUAAGGACCAAAGUGAUCAGGGCUACGUUAUGGCAUCAAAUGAGUGCCUUGGAGCAAUGCAGGAGACAUUUGGACAAAGAACAGAAAACGUGACCAGGCAAGUGUGGAGGGGAGUGGACGCGAUGCUCCCAGGACAGCCCAGGCUGCAACACGGGCUGCUGCUACUUGUGGGGAAGUGAGAGCAUCUGAAAUACGGCACAUUUUGUGCUUGGCAGCGAAUCCAGAGCCAAUGUCUGCCCAAGAAUGCUCAUCUGGAGAAAGUGCCUCCUACAGAAAGGCAGGGAGCACAAAGGCUGAGUGUUAUCACAGGGGCUGCUCCGUGAGCCGUGUUUGUUCAAGGACAGACAAUGCAUACUCUGUGAGCUGCCCCGGUGCUGGAUUUUGCACCCCUUUUCUUUCUCUGCAUCAUCAUUCCUCUUCCAAAUCUGUCUCCUGUGCCAGAGAUGAAGCUGUAAGUACCAGCAGGGAAUCAUGUCUCUAAACAUCCUCACUAGAAGAGCCUUAGGAAAAUGUCCCUUUUGCCCUGCCAACAUGAGCGCACAUUCUCCGCUGUGCUGGGUGGGGAGCAGGCUCUGAAGCACCUCAGGUCUCACCAACACCUCCAGCACCUGCAGGGCAUUUCUGAGCAGCCCCAAAGGCACUCCGGUUCUGCUGUACCAGCAGGUGAGGAGCUCCAGAGGAAGGUUGCCUCUACCUGGUCCUGCUGUCCCCACAGCUGGGAAAAGCUGCCACGAAAACUCCUGGGUAGCACCUUGCAUAGAGUCAUAGACUCAUAGAAUGUCUUGUAAGAAACCUUAAAGAUCAUCUAGAUCCAAUCACCCUGCAUAGAUGGCUUUGUAGGGAGCACUGCUGCCGCUGUUGUUUGAGUCAUGCCAAGAGCCAUCAGCAGGCUUUCUGUGACUAAAUGUAGCAUGCUCCACUGUUAUUUAUGGAGAUGGAUGGCUGUCUCUGGAGAGGGAGACAUCCACUGCUCUAAUCAGAGAAAAAGCCUGUUAACAUUGAACAUCUACCUCUGAUGAAUCUCCUUCCCCUCUCCAGAAGAGCUAAUUCACUGAGGAGUUCGUGGCUCUCUUACCCGCUUUUUGCCCCUUACGCUGCAGGCCAGAACAUUUUGAUUCCUGCAUUGGGGACUGGAGAUGAAGCUGUUAGAUUGCCAACCUCAAAUCACGGGGGAAAAUGCAGUCCGAGGGUUGUGCAGUAGCAGAAUUGUUUUGUUUAUUGUUAAGUUAGCAAAAAUGACAGUCUGUUUGCCAGAAAAUGAUUUAUGUUUAUUAAUUUAUUCACAUUGUUGUGAUUAACAGCUUUCUCUGUCAGUCUGGCUGCUUAUCUGCUUGCCUUAAACAAGCAAAUGAGCAAAUGAAAAUCUUAAUUAAAAUGGAGUACCAUCAUUUGUUUGUGAAAGACAGAAAGUUUUGCUGCUGAAUCUUUCUAAUGCUUCACUGAUGGCAAUAGAACUCCUGAUGUUUAGAACAACCCAGCUGGAGGAAAGAGAGAAAGAAAGAAAGAGGAGGGGAGGAAGGAGGGGAAAUACAGAUUAGUACAACAAAUGCUUUUCGUUUGCAUUUUGAUAUCUGACGUGGUCAUGAAGGCUUGUAGAAAGUAAGAGUUCCUCAUGAAGUCUCACAGAA